AAUGGGUCAGCGACUUAUAUUCUGUAGCAAGGUUAACCGAAUAGGGGAGCCGAAGGGAAACCGAGUCUUAACUGGGCGUUAAGUUGCAGGGUAUAGACCCGAAACCCGGUGAUCUAGCCAUGGGCAGGUUGAAGGUUGGGUAACACUAACUGGAGGACCGAACCGACUAAUGUUGAAAAAUUAGCGGAUGACUUGUGGCUGGGGGUGAAAGGCCAAUCAAACCGGGAGAUAGCUGGUUCUCCCCGAAAGCUAUUUAGGUAGCGCCUCGUGAAUUCAUCUCCGGGGGUAGAGCACUGUUUCGGCAAGGGGGUCAUCCCGACUUACCAACCCGAUGCAAACUGCGAAUACCGGAGAAUGUUAUCACGGGAGACACACGGCGGGUGCUAACGUCCGUCGUGAAGAGGGAAACAACCCAGACCGCCAGCUAAGGUCCCAAAGUCAUGGUUAAGUGGGAAACGAUGUGGGAAGGCCCAGACAGCCAGGAUGUUGGCUUAGAAGCAGCCAUCAUUUAAAGAAAGCGUAAUAGCUCACUGGUCGAGUCGGCCUGCGCGGAAGAUGUAACGGGGCUAAACCAUGCACCGAAGCUGCGGCAGCGACACUGUGUGUUGUUGGGUAGGGGAGCGUUCUGUAAGCCUGUGAAGGUGUACUGUGAGGUAUGCUGGAGGUAUCAGAAGUGCGAAUGCUGACAUAAGUAACGAUAAAGCGGGUGAAAAGCCCGCUCGCCGGAAGACCAAGGGUUCCUGUCCAACGUUAAUCGGGGCAGGGUGAGUCGACCCCUAAGGCGAGGCCGAAAGGCGUAGUCG
rnacentral:rRNA from 1 species